CCUACGGGAGGCAGCAGUGGGGAAUUUUGGACAAUGGGGGCAACCCUGAUCCAGCAAUGCCGCGUGAGUGAAGAAGGCCCUCGGGUUGUAAAGCUCUUUUGUCAGGGAAGAAACGGUCUACUCUAAUACAGUGGGCUAAUGACGGUACCUGAAGAAUAAGCACCGGCUAACUACGUGCCAGCAGCCGCGGUAAUACGUAGGGUGCAAGCGUUAAUCGGAAUUACUGGGCGUAAAGCGUGCGCAGGCGGUUUUAUAAGACAGAGGUGAAAUCCCCGGGCUCAACCUGGGAACUGCCUUUGUGACUGUAAGGCUAGAGUGUGUCAGAGGGGGGUAGAAUUCCACGUGUAGCAGUGAAAUGCGUAGAUAUGUGGAGGAAUACCGAUGGCGAAGGCAGCCCCCUGGGAUAACACUGACGCUCAUGCACGAAAGCGUGGGGAGCAAACAGGAUUAGAUACCCUGGUAGUCCACGCCCUAAACGAUGUCUACUAGUUGUCGGGACUUAAUUGUCUUGGUAACGCAGCUACGCGUGAGUAGACCGCCGUCGGGAGGUACGGUCGCGAAGAAUUAAAACUACGAAAGGAAGUUAGUACGGCGUGAGACGUCGCCGACGGACGACGACGAGGGAGGUUAGG
rnacentral:rRNA from 1 species